GAUAAACGCUGUGCGGCGCACAUAAGACAUGCAAGUCGAACGGACUUAACCAUUAGUUUACUAUUGGAGCGGUUAGUGGCGGACUGGUGAGUAACACGUAAGCAACCUGCCUAUCAGAGGGGAACAACAGUUAGAAAUGACUGCUAAUACCGCAUAUGCCUUAAUUACCACAUGGUAAUAGAGGGAAAGGAGUAAUCCGCUGAUAGAUGGGCUUGCGUCUGAUUAGAUAGUUGGUAAGGUAACGGCUUACCAAGUCGACGAUCAGUAGCCGGACUGAGAGGUUGAACGGCCACAUUGGGACUGAGAUACGGCCCAGACUCCUACGGGAGGCAGCAGUCGGGAAUAUUGCGCAAUGGAGGAAACUCUGACGCAGUGACGCCGCGUGCAGGAAGAAGGUUUUCGGAUUGUAAACUGCUUUAGACAGGGAAGAAACAAGACAGUACCUGUAGAAUAAGCUCCGGCUAACUACGUGCCAGCAGCCGCGGUAAUACGUAGGGAGCAAGCGUUAUCCGGAUUUAUUGGGUGUAAAGGGUGCGUAGACGGGAAUGCAAGUUGGUUGUGAAAUCCCUCGGCUCAACCGAGGAAUUGCAACCAAAACUAUAUUUCUUGAGUGCUGGAGAGGAAAGUGGAAUUCCUAGUGUAGCGGUGAAAUGCGUAGAUAUUAGGAGGAACACCAGUGGCGAAGGCGACUUUCUGGACAGUAACUGACGUUGAGGCACGAAAGUGUGGGGAGCAAACAGGAUUAGAUACCCUGGUAGUCCACACCGUAAACGAUGGAUACUAGGUGUAGGGGAUGAAUAAUCUUCUGUGCCGUCGCAAACGCAGUAAGUAUCCCACCUGGGGAGUACGGCCGCAAGGUUGAAACUCAAAGGAAUUGACGGGGGCCCGCACAAGCAGUGGAGUAUGUGGUUUAAUUCGACGCAACGCGAAGAACCUUACCAGGGCUUGACAUAUACAUGAAAAUCUAAGAGAUUAGAUCCCUCUUCGGAGCAUGUAUACAGGUGGUGCAUGGUUGUCGUCAGCUCGUGUCGUGAGAUGUUGGGUUAAGUCCCGCAACGAGCGCAACCCCUGUUCUUAGUUGCCAGCAUGUAAAGAUGGGAACUCUAAGAAGACUGCCGGUGAUAAAUCGGAGGAAGGUGGGGACGACGUCAAAUCAUCAUGCCCUUUAUGUCCUGGGCUACACACGUACUACAAUGGCUGUAACAAAGGGAAGCGAACCCGCGAGGGGAAGCAAAACCCAUAAAAGCAGUCUCAGUUCGGAUUGAAGGCUGAAAUUCGCCUUCAUGAAGCCGGAAUUGCUAGUGAUGGCAGGUCAGCAUACUGCCGUGAAUACGUUCCCGGGCCUUGUACACACCGCCCGUCACACCAUGAGAGUUGGGGAUACCCGAAGCCUGUGAGCUAACUGUAAAGAGGCAGCAGUCGAAGGUAGAAUCAAUGAUUGGGGUGAAGU
rnacentral:rRNA from 1 species